UCUCCUGGAAACGGGUGGUAAUGCCGGAUGCUCCGCCCCCUCGCAUGGGGGGUCGGGAAGGCUUUUGCGGAAUGGGAUGGGGUCGCGUCCUAUCAGCUUGUUGGCGGGGCGACGGCCCACCAAGGCUUCGACGGGUAGCCGGCCUGAGAGGGCGACCGGCCACAUUGGGACUGAGAUACGGCCCAGACUCCUACGGGAGGCAGCAGUGGGGAAUAUUGCACAAUGGGGGGAACCCUGAUGCAGCGACGCCGCGUGCGGGAUGGAGGCCUUCGGGUCGUGAACCGCUUUUGAUUGGGAGCAAGCGUGAGUGAGUGUACCUUUCGAAUAAGCACCGGCUAACUACGUGCCAGCAGCCGCGGUAAUACGUAGGGUGCAAGCGUUGUCCGGAAUCAUUGGGCGUAAAGGGCUCGUAGGCGGUUCGUCGCGUCCGGUGUGAAAGCCCAUCGCUUAACGGUGGGUCUGCGCCGGGUACGGGCGGGCCUGAGUGCGGCAGGGGAGGCUGGAAUUCCCGGUGUAACGGUGGAAUGUGUAGAUAUCGGGAAGAACACCA
rnacentral:rRNA from 1 species